rnacentral:piRNA from 1 species
UUNUCUACUAAGCCGUGUCUCCAGUUCC